UUUUAGAGAAUUAAAAAUUUAAAUAUUAAUUUAUAUUUGAUUUGAAAAAUUUAUUAUAUUAAUUAAAAUAAUAUUAUAAUUAAAUAUUUUUAGUAAGUUUUAAAAAAAAAAUUAUCAUUAAUUAAUAAAGUAUUGUUAAAGAAAAAUAAUAAUAAAAGAAAAAUAAAGUUUAAAUUAUUGUAUCUUUUGUAUCAGAGUUUAUUAAAAAUUUAAUUAUUAUUUUAAUUAAUCUCGAAAUAAAAUGAUUUAUAUUAAAUUUGAUUUAGUUAUUAUGACAAUAAUAUUAAUAAAAUUAAUAUGGAAGUGAAAUGUUAAACGAAUUUUAUGAUAUCUAGUUUUUUAAGAAAUAUAUUUAAUAUAGAUUUAUUAAGGGUGUUUAAAUUAUUAAAAAAUUUAAGUAUAAUAAUAAAUUUAUAAUUUAAGGGAUAAACUUUAAAUUAAACAUUUAUAAUUUAUUUAAUUAGGAGGGUUAAAAGAUUUGUAGAAUUAAUAUUAUUAAUUUAUAUAAAAAAUGUAAUAAUUUAUUUUUAAUUAAAUAUAAUUUAAAAAUAAUUUAAAAAUUUAUUAAAAUAUUAUAUUUAAUGAUUUAAUUUAAGUAAUAAUGAUAAAAUUAGUAUAUGAAUAUUAUUUAAAUAAUUAUUAUUUCUAAAAAUUAAUUUAAGGAAUUCGGCAAAAUUUUAUUGUUCAAAUGUUUAACAAAAACAUUUCUUUUUGAAAUAUUGAUUUAAAGUAAGGCCUGCUCAAUGAUUUAAAUAUUAAAUAGCUGCAGUAUCCUAACUGUACAAAGGUAGCAUAAUAAUUAGUUUUUUUAUUGAAAGCUUGUAUGAAGGGUUUAAUGAAAUAAUAACUGUCUAUAAAUUAAUAAGUAAAAUUUUAUAUUUAAGUAAAAAAGCUUAAGUAUAUUUAAGUGACGAGAAGACCCUAUAGAUUUUUAUUAAUUUAAUUAAAUAAAUAAAUUUAUAUAUAAUUAGUUAUUUAAUUGUAUUAAUUAGGUUGGGGGGAUUUAUAAAUAAAAAUAACUUUAAAAUUUUUAAAUAAAUUUAUUUAACAUUAAUAUAAAGAUUUAAUUUUAUUAAUUAGUAGAUUAAAUUACCUUAGGGAUAACAGCAUAAUUUUUUUGGAGAGAACAUAUUAAUAAAAAAGAUUAUGACCUCGAUGUUGAAUUAAAAUAAAAAUUAAAAGUAGAAAUUUAAUAUUUAAGUCUGUUCGACUUUUAAAAUUUUACAUGAUUUGAGUUCAAACCGGUGUAAGCCAGGUUGGUUUCUAUCUUUAAAUAUAUAUAUAAUAUUAUAGUACGAAAGGAUUUAAUAUUUAAAAAAUUUUUUAAAAAAUUGAAUAAAAUUAAUUU
rnacentral:rRNA from 1 species